GUGAAUCAUCAAAUUUUUGAACGCAAAUUGCACUCCCUGGUAUUCCGGAGAGUAUGCCUGUUUGAGGGUCAGUUUAAAUAAAAAUCGGUGUGUUUGCUGCCUUUCGUGGUUUCGCACCGGAUUUGGGUCGUCUUGCCUUCGUUUAAGUGACCCAAAAUUUUGCAUUAUUUUUUUCGAACGUAUUUAAAUGAUUUUACUUACGUUUGUGAUAUCUAUUACUAGGUGUGGUCAUCCUCACGAUUCGCGCCUA
rnacentral:misc_RNA from 1 species